rnacentral:RNase_P_RNA from 1 species
CGAGUCGGCCAGAUGAUCGCGGUGCUCGCACCGAGGAAAGUCCGGACUCCGCAGAGCAGGGUGGUGGGUAACACCCACCCGGGGCGACCCGCGGGACAGUGCCACAGAGAACAGACCGCCCUCCUCGUGGGGGCAAGGGUGAAACGGCGGUGUAAGAGACCACCGGCACCCCGGGUGACCGGGGUGGCCAGGCAAACCCCACCCGGAGCAAGACCAGACAGGCUGCGUCAGAGGGCUGCUCGCCCGAGCAGCCGGGUAGGUUGCACCAGGCGACUGGCAACAGUCGUCGCAGAUGGAUGAUCAUCCUUCGACAGAAUCCGGCUUACCGGCCGGCUCGUCCU